rnacentral:rRNA from 1 species
AGAGAGAGACAUGCGCGCAUAUCAAUAAGCGGAGGAAAAGAAACUAACAAGGAUUCCCUUAGUAACGGCGAGUGAAGCGGGAAGAGCUCAAAUUUGAAAUCUUCAGGGUUUUACCUUGACGAAUUGUAGUUUAAAGAAGUGUUUUCUGCUGAAGUUUUGGUAAAAGUUCUUUGGAAUAGGACAUCAUAGAGGGUGAGAAUCCCGUAUUUGACCAUUAUUUUCAGCUUUGUGAUACACUUUCAAAGAGUCGGAUUGUUUGGGAAUGCAGUCCAAAAUGGGUGGUAAAUUUCAUCUAAAGCUAAAUAUUGGCGAGAGACCGAUAGCGAACAAGUACCGUGAGGGAAAGAUGAAAAGAACUUUGAAAAGAGAGUUAAACAGUACAGUGAAAUUGUCAAAAGGGAAGCGUUUGACACCAGUGUUGUUUUCUCGAAAAUCAAUUAAAAAUGGCUCGAUUUUGUAUUGCUUGAGACCUUAAAAGCUCACUGUACAUUUUUCGUGUCUUUUUUAAUGCACUUUUCGUUUAACAAGUCAACAUCAGUUUCUUUUGUUGUAAAAGGGUCAUUGGAAGGUGGCUUUCUUUUCGGAGAAAGUGUUUAUAGCCUUUGGCCUCUGCAAUCGGAGAGACUGAGGUCUGCAGCGUAGACUCUUCGGGGUUAGAUACAUUUGUGCUAAGUUAUAGCUUUUUAUAGACAACUUGUUGACUAUAAUUAGUCUUGUAGCUUGACUCGCUUAUGCUAUUUUACCUACGCUUAGGAUGUUGAAGAUGUAGCACAUCAU